rnacentral:lncRNA from 1 species
AGACAGACUUAUUCAACUGGCCAACUGAAAUUAAGAAUCCAAUGCUCCAAAUGGACUAACCAGUAGUGUCAAAAAUGUGGCAGUUACUGGAAUAGCUAAGUGGAAU